AGGGACUUAGGAUAGCAUUAUAGACCAUGAGCCUUCAAAGCUCCAAGCAGGAGUGAAAAUCUCCUAGUCCCUG
rnacentral:tRNA from 1 species